rnacentral:rRNA from 1 species
GACGAACGCUGGCGGCGUGCCUAAUACAUGCAAGUCGAACGAACUCUGGUAUUGAUUGGUGCUUGUCAUCAUGAUUUACAGUUUGAGUGAGUGGCGGAACUGGUGAGUAACACGUGGGGAAACCGUGCCCAGAAGCGGGGGAUAACACCUGGAAACAGAUGCUAAUAACCGCGAUAACAACUUGACCGCAUGGUCCGAGUUUGAAACGAUGGCUUCGGCUAUCUACG